GCGGGGAGGGCAAGGGGUGGAGAGGGCAGCCUGGGAGAGCCUCCAAAUUCGCCGAGCCGGGUUGCAGCUGGAGCUGCCCGGCGCAGGGGUGGGGACUGCCCGCUUCCUUAAACGGAGCGGGAGCGGCGGAGCGGCCCCGUGUGCCGCCCCGGUGUGCCGGGCCAUGCCGACCCUCCCGGGACGCGGCCGCAACACGUGGAGCAAACUUUCGAGGGAUGUGACUGCAGCCGGACGGAAACUCCGCCGCAUCGGGAUUGCGCCGUCACGUUGCACGGAGCAGCUCGCCUCUUUCUGGAACAUUUCAACUGCUUUUCUUAAAGCUGAACUUUGUGUAAAGGAGAAGUGACUAGAAACCCCAAACUGGGUCCCGGGUCUUGCUUAACUUUGUAAAGCACACUGACUUGCUGACACGACUCCAGUUAAGGUAUGGUAUGAAUCAGGAACUCCAACAGCCGCUGUGGAAUGAGUGUGUUCACAUGAAGUCAUCCUGCAGCAGCUAUUGCAGAAUAGUCAACCGCUCUGUGUAAGCGAGCCCUAAAAGACAAUCCUGGUCCCAGCAGUUGUGUGACUAGGUAAGGGAGGUAAUGGGCACAAGAAAGGCACACUGUUUGCUAAGGAUGGGCUGGGAGCAAAGAAACUUGUGCUGCUCAGGGCUGCCUUGCAGGUCGCUGCCUUUGGAGUUGUUUGCUUCAGGACUUUCUGCUUUAAUGCCUUUGAUUUCUGAGACCGGUCCAGCACAUGAAACCGCAGACUGUUUCCUCAUGUAGCUGAUGCAGUGCCUUCACCUGAUACCAAAACAAGAUGUGAGGAAUUGAAUGUUUCCCUGGUGAGACGUGUGGAUGGAAUUGACCUGCUUUUAAUCCAGUAUCUACCAAUCAAUUAAACAGAAGCACCUCCACUGCUAACAAGAUGGAGAACAACAACCGACGCUUAGUACUGGAAACAGGAAGAUCCAGAAGGGGUUUUUGUUCCUAUGUUACAAUUUUCAUCUUUAGUAUUCUCAUCUUACUCAAAGUAAGAAUAUUUAUAUGUUAAAAUAACCCCCUUUUUGCUUUGUAAUACUGGAUUGAGCCUGCCCAGCUUCUUCCUAUCACAGCUCCGCCCCGUGGAGAGAACCCAGUGGUGGAUGUGGAGGUCAGAAGAGCUCCUCCAAAUGCAGGGGAUGUGCACAGGGCAAUCCUGCAGCUCGUCCUGAAGCUGGUGCAUGGAUGAAUGGAUCGUUUUCUCAUGUGCUAUGGGAUCUCUGCCUGUAUAAAUGUCUGACAAACUCUUCCAGUGCUUUAUAACCCUGUUUCUUCUACCUUCUGGUAAGCCACAAUUUCCUGCUUAUGCAUCUCUGUGGAAGAAACCCUUCAUAUAUGUGACUGCAUGUGGUGAAUAGGAGAGCAAGAAGAGUCGGUGUUAUUUUUAUCCUAUCUAUUCUCAAAACAGCUCUCCCAGUCAUACACCCCUCCAAUAGCCUCUCGGAGUGGAGGGCAGCUGCAGAGCCCUGUGGGGACACUUGGUAUUUGUCCAGGGGCUGGCAGGCAGGAGGGCUCCUGCAUGCCCUGCAGGUGGGAUCCUGCUCUGUUUCACUGCAGGACAUUCUGAGCAGACCUGUGAGUCCACUUCUCUGUGCCCAGGACGAAGCACUAAGAUUUCAAGGACAAAUUUGGCUAUUCCUUUUGAAACUUCACUGUCAUUUAGCAUCUCCAGCCUGGCUUGGAAAAUACAGAAAUUCCUAAAAUAAAUGUGUUUUGAAAAGUA